GGGUUGUGAGGUUAAGCGACUAAGCGUACACGGUGGAUGCCCUGGCAGUCAGAGGCGAUGAAGGGCGUGCUAAUCUGCGAUAAGCGCCGGUAAGGUGAUAUGAACCGUUAUAACCGGCGAUACCCGAAUGGGGAAACCCAGUGUGAUUCGUCACACUAUCAUUAACUGAAUCCAUAGGUUAAUGAGGCGAACCGGGGGAACUGAAACAUCUAAGUACCCCGAGGAAAAGAAAUCAACCGAGAUUCCCCCAGUAGCGGCGAGCGAACGGGGAGGAGCCCAGAGCCUGAAUCAGCAUGUGUGUUAGUGGAAGCGUCUGGAAAGGCGCGCGAUACAGGGUGACAGCCCCGUACACAAAAGCGCAUGUGCUGUGAGCUCGAUGAGUAGGGCGGGACACGUGGUAUCCUGUCUGAAUAUGGGGGGACCAUCCUCCAAGGCUAAAUACUCCUGACUGACCGAUAGUGAACCAGUACCGUGAGGGAAAGGCGAAAAGAACCCCGGCGAGGGGAGUGAAAAAGAACCUGAAACCGUGUACGUACAAGCAGUGGGAGCNNNNNNNNNNNNNNNNNNNNNNNNNNNNNNNNNNNNNNNNNNGGGCGUUAAGUUGCAGGGUAUAGACCCGAAACCCGGUGAUCUAGCCAUGGGCAGGUUGAAGGUUGGGUAACACUAACUGGAGGACCGAACCGACUAAUGUUGAAAAAUUAGCGGAUGACCUGUGGCUGGGGGUGAAAGGCCAAUCAAACCGGGAGAUAGCUGGUUCUCCCCGAAAGCUAUUUAGGUAGCGCCUCGUGAAUUCAUCUCCGGGGGUAGAGCACUGUUUCGGCUAGGGGGCCAUCCCGGCUUACCAACCCGAUGCAAACUGCGAAUACCGGAGAAUGUUAUCACGGGAGACACACGGCGGGUGCUAACGUCCGUCGUGAAGAGGGAAACAACCCAGACCGCCAGCUAAGGUCCCAAAGUCAUGGUUAAGUGGGAAACGAUGUGGGAAGGCCCAGACAGCCAGGAUGUUGGCUUAGAAGCAGCCAUCAUUUAAAGAAAGCGUAAUAGCUCACUGGUCGAGUCGGCCUGCGCGGAAGAUGUAACGGGGCUAAACCAUGCACCGAAGCUGCGGCAGCGACACUGUGUGUUGUUGGGUAGGGGAGCGUUCUGUAAGCCUGUGAAGGUGUGUCGUGAGGCAUGCUGGAGGUAUCAGAAGUGCGAAUGCUGACAUAAGUAACGAUAAAGCGGGUGAAAAGCCCGCUCGCCGGAAGACCAAGGGUUCCUGUCCAACGUUAAUCGGGGCAGGGUGAGUCGACCCCUAAGGCGAGGCCGAAAGGCGUAGUCGAUGGGAAACGGGUUAAUAUUCCCGUACUUGGUGUUACUGCGAAGGGGGGACGGAGAAGGCUAUGUUGGCCGGGCGACGGUUGUCCCGGUUUAAGCGUGUAGGUGUGUGUUCCAGGUAAAUCCGGUUCACUUUAACACUGAGGCGUGACGACGAGGCACUACGGUGCUGAAGCAACAAAUGCCCUGCUUCCAGGAAAAGCCUCUAAGCAUCAGGUAACAUCAAAUCGUACCCCAAACCGACACAGGUGGUCAGGUAGAGAAUACCAAGGCGCUUGAGAGAACUCGGGUGAAGGAACUAGGCAAAAUGGUGCCGUAACUUCGGGAGAAGGCACGCUGACACGUAGGUGAAGUGAUUUACUCAUGGAGCUGAAGUCAGUCGAAGAUACCAGCUGGCUGCAACUGUUUAUUAAAAACACAGCACUGUGCAAACACGAAAGUGGACGUAUACGGUGUGACGCCUGCCCGGUGCCGGAAGGUUAAUUGAUGGGGUCAGCGCAAGCGAAGCUCCUGAUCGAAGCCCCGGUAAACGGCGGCCGUAACUAUAACGGUCCUAAGGUAGCGAAAUUCCUUGUCGGGUAAGUUCCGACCUGCACGAAUGGCGUAAUGAUGGCCAGGCUGUCUCCACCCGAGACUCAGUGAAAUUGAACUCGCUGUGAAGAUGCAGUGUACCCGCGGCAAGACGGAAAGACCCCGUGAACCUUUACUAUAGCUUGACACUGAACAUUGAGCCUUGAUGUGUAGGAUAGGUGGGAGGCUUUGAAGUGUGGACGCCAGUCUGCAUGGAGCCGACCUUGAAAUACCACCCUUUAAUGUUUGAUGUUCUAACGUGGACCCGUUACCCGGGUUGCGGACAGUGUCUGGUGGGUAGUUUGACUGGGGCGGUCUCCUCCUAAAGAGUAACGGAGGAGCACGAAGGUUGGCUAAUCCUGGUCGGACAUCAGGAGGUUAGUGCAAUGGCAUAAGCCAGCUUGACUGCGAGCGUGACGGCGCGAGCAGGUGCGAAAGCAGGUCAUAGUGAUCCGGUGGUUCUGAAUGGAAGGGCCAUCGCUCAACGGAUAAAAGGUACUCCGGGGAUAACAGGCUGAUACCGCCCAAGAGUUCAUAUCGACGGCGGUGUUUGGCACCUCGAUGUCGGCUCAUCACAUCCUGGGGCUGAAGUAGGUCCCAAGGGUAUGGCUGUUCGCCAUUUAAAGUGGUACGCGAGCUGGGUUUAGAACGUCGUGAGACAGUUCGGUCCCUAUCUGCCGUGGGCGCUGGAGAACUGAGGGGGGCUGCUCCUAGUACGAGAGGACCGGAGUGGACGCAUCACUGGUGUUCGGGUUGUCAUGCCAAUGGCACUGCCCGGUAGCUAAAUGCGGAAGAGAUAAGUGCUGAAAGCAUCUAAGCACGAAACUUGCCCCGAGAUGAGUUCUCCCUGAGACUUAGAGUCUCCUGAAGGAACGUUGAAGACGACGACGUUGAUAGGCCGGGUGUGUAAGCGCAGCGAUGCGUUGAGCUAACCGGUACUAAUGAACCGUGAGGCUUAACCUUACAACGCCGAAG
rnacentral:rRNA from 1 species